AUACGUAGGGGGCGAGCGUUGUCCGGAAUAACUGGGCGUAAAGGGCGUGUAGGCGGCCUGACAAGUCAGGGGUGAAAGACCAGGGCUCAACCGUGGGGUUGCCUCUGAGACUGUGAGGCUUGAGUGCUCCAGAGGGCAGUGGAAUUCCCGGUGUAGCGGUGAAAUGCGUAGAGAUCGGGAGGAACACCAGUGGCGAAGGCGGCUGCCUGGGGAGUAACUGACGCUGAGGCGCGAAAGCUGGGGGAGCAAACAGGAUUAGAUACCCUGGUAGUCCCAGCCGUAAACGAUGAGUGCUAGGUGUGAGGGGUAUCGACCCCCCUCGUGCCGGAGUUAACGCAAUAAGCACUCCGCCUGGGGAGUACGGCCGCAAGGUUGAA
rnacentral:rRNA from 1 species